AGAAAUUGUACGUAAACAUAUCUUCACCAUUUCUCCACGCCACCGAUCUCAGAUUUUCCUAGAUUUUCUCUGAUAUUCUUUACCGUAAUUCUCCUAUACAUCUCUUGAAUAUCGAAUCUCAGCUCCCUCUCAUUUACAGCUAUUGAUUUCUUCAGGAAGUAGAAGAGGAUUAUACAUUGUUGUUGGUGAAGAUUCCGCCCAUCUCCUCCGAGCCAGGAUUCUGCACUGGCGGCGCCCAUCUUCUGGCGAUAGUGGUCUUUCGACUGGUGGCCCCGUGGAUUGGGGAUGGACCAAAAAAUAUCCUCCACUGUACAAUCCUGGGCAUCCGACCGGUUGACUUAUUUCCUCUGGUUAUUGGAUGGCUGAGAUUGUCUCAAUGUGGGUUUCUUUGCAGCAGGUGAUCCGGAGUGGAUGAUUGGUCUGGGCCGGUGGAAGGUGGGAGUCAUCCUGUAAGGAGUGCUGGCCCGAAUGAAAACUCUGUGGAUUUCAGUCGGAGAGUCGACCAGGUACUGAGUCACACUGAACUUCACUCAGCACGAAUUGUUUGUGAGAAAGCGUUGAGGAGGGUUGGAGCUGGGACAGGAGAUCUGCCGGUAGCCAAGACCUGCAGCAAGGGAAAGGCUUCGAAGAUCAAGGGCCUCAGAGAGGCUGUCAUUGGGCAUCGAAAGUACAUGAAGGGCAACCAUGCAUCCUCUGGAAUACAGUCUUGGGAAUGGGAUGCUCUGCAUAAUUCCUAAGGAUUGAAUUGCUAGAAAUGUUCGAGUCCCAGUGCCCGACACAUCAACUAGAGAGAUCAGCAGAUGGCAAACCAUUUCCAAAUGAAUGGCUUUCGCAUUCUGCUCAAACCAGACUUUUCCGAUCAGAUUCACAAUGAGCUAGCUUGGUUAGAGGUAAAAGGUUUUUGGGAAAAGAUUGUUAAAUGGUGGAAGUCAUUUUCUAUAGAAGGGGGUGCUGGUUUUGCUCUAUUCCAAAAAAUAAAGUUGCUUAAACAGAAGAUAGGGGAAUGGAAAAAAGAGGUCCUGGGUGGUUGAGAGGAGGAGAAGUCCAACAUUCUUUCAGAAAGUCAAAGGUUAGAUUCCAAAGAAGAGGAAGAGGAGCCAACAUAUGAGGAAAAAGCUUGGGGAGAGGUGUAUAGUGUAAAAUACAAUGCCAGAUUAAGAGAGAAAGAAAUUAAAUGGCGGCAAAGGUCUAGGGCAACUUGGCUGAAAACAUGGGAUAAAAAUACCGAGUUCUUUCAUGCGAUGGCUAGUGCUAGAGCGCGAGAAAGUAAGAUUUCUUUGUUAUUGGUGGAUGGGGAAAGGAUGGAGGGGAGGCCUAAGAUUUGCGAAAAUAUAGUCCAAUAUUACAAAAACCUUUUGUCAAAAGAAAAGGGUCAUAUGCUGAUUCUUGAUAAUUUACACUUUGAUGCUAUUUCAGUGGAAGAUGCGGUUUCUUUGGAAGAACCUUUUUUUGAGGAGGAAAUUAAGAAAGCAGUGGCAAAUUAGGUGGUGAUAAAGCUUCGGGGCAAGAUGGUUUUCCAAUAGCUUUUUUUUUCGAAAUUUUUGGGAGUGUGUGAAGGGAGAUGUGUUAGGCUUCAUGCAAUAAUUCUUUCAAAAAGGAUUAAUAGUGACACAACUAGGGGUUACGCUUCUAUUUCUAGCAAUGGUUCCAAAAAUGGAAGGAGUGAAAUGUUUGUAAGAUUUCCAUCCAAUUAGUUUACUAGGUGAUCCAUACAAUAUACAAAGGUGUUGGCAUCCAGAUUUCAGAAAGUGUUGGGCAGUGUGAUUUCAGAGUCUCAAGGAGCUUUUGUGGCUGGUAGGCAGAUUGCUAAUUGCUCUUUAAUAGCUAACGAAUGUGUCAAUUCUUGCUAUAGGAAAGAGGAGAAAUGUAUAGUUUGCAAGCUAGACAUUGAAAAGGCAUAUGAUCAUGUCGAUUGGGCGUUCCUAGAUUAUAUGUUGGGCAGGUUAGGUUGCAAAUCAAAAUGGUGUUCUUGGAUUCAAAAUUUUUCAUAUUGGUGAACGGUUUGCCAAAAGGGUUCUUUGCCGCUUCACGGGGUCUUUGUUAAGGCGAUCCAUUAUCUCCUCUUCUCUUCGUCAUAGUUACGGAGGCUCUUAGAAAAAUGCUAGGCAGAGGUAUUCAUGUUGGUUUGUUUGAAGGCUUUGGAGUGGACAAUCCAAACGUUCAAAUCUCCUACAUAAAGUAUGCAGAUGAUACUCUGUUACUAUGCAAGGCGGAUGAUUACUUUGAGCAAAAUCUUCGGUCGAUUAUAGCAAGUUUUGAGGUGGUGUUUGUUGGGGGUUCGCAUUUCUCAAGAAGUUCGAGUCUUUGCGUCGAUAUUUGGUUGUAGGGAAGCUUCCUUUCCGACAACGUACUUGGGUUUAUUGUUAUGUAUUGGGAGACCGACAAAACAUAUGUGGGACAAAGUGAUAGAACGUUGCGAAAGAAAGAUGUCCAAGUGGAAAGCUAGGUGCUUGUCAUUGGGUGCGAAAAUGAUUCUAGUGGCAACAUCUAUGUCAGACCUUCCGAUCAAUUUUAUGUCUCUGUUGAAAUGCCCGAAAUAUGUUCUAAAUGCUCUAGAAAGAUGUAGGAGGGACUUCUUUUGGGGAGGGUUGGGAGAGAAACAAAGAUUUCAUUUGUUCAAGUGGGAACAAGCCAAAGGACCAAGGAGGUGCAGGUUUUAGGAAACUAGAGGAGAUGAAUCUAGUUCUGUUGGGAAAAUGGGUUUGGAGGUUUGGGUCAGAGGGAUAAGCUAAAUGGAGUGAUGUAAUUUUAAGAAAGUGUGGGAUAAAGGAAGGAGGAUGGUGGACAAAGGCAUCAUCUUUGUAUCGUUCUUCUUACCUAUGGAAAUCAGUGGCAUUGCUAAAAGAGAGAGUGUAGGAGGGAAUAGGCUUCAGUUUGGGAGAUGGAAAUAGAAUUAGAUUUUGGGAUGAUAGAUGAGUUGGAGAGGGGAAGUUGAGUGAUAGGUUUUCUUCAUUAGCAUGGCUAGCUAGGGAAGAUUGGGCGAAGGUAAGCAAUUGUUUUUCAGUAAGGGGUGAUGAAGUAAUCUGGGUUCCUUUGUUUAGAAGAAAUCCGACAGAUGAGGAGAUUGAGGAAUUGGUUCAAUUGCUCUAAAUGCUUUCAAAGGUUACUCCAGUGUUAUUAGAUGCAGAUUCCAUCGCGUGGUUAGAAGUAAAAUCUGCUGUUGCAUGGUUAGAAGCAAAAUCUGGGUCUUUUUCAAUGAGAUCCCUCUAUUCAUUUCUAAUUGUGAGGAAGAUGUUGGGGCAUUUUCAACGGCCUAUCUUUAGAAAUAUGGUGCUCCUUUAAAGGUGUUGGCUUUUGGAUGGCUAGUGAGGAGGAAUAAAGUGCUAACAAUUGGUAAUCUUUGCAAAAGGAAGUUGUUUCUCCCCAUUGUUUGCCUCAUGGGUUAUAAAGAUGUGGAAUCGGUAGAUCGAUCGCUUAUUCAUUCACUGCACUUUUGCAAAGGAGUCGUGUGAUCAGUCUUUGGAGUAUGAUGGGUGUUUCCAAGUUCAAUAGAGGAUUUUCUUAUCUCUUGGCACGGCGGGGGAUAGGGAAAUUCGGAAAAAAGAAAAAAGAAAAAAAAAGGCUGCAGAGGUUAAGCUUGUUAGCGAGGCUGUAGAGGUUAAGCUUGUUAGCGGCUCUAUCGGCUAUAUGGUGGGAAAGAAAUGUGAGAUGCUUCAAAACUAAGAACAAAGGAGUUUUAAAAGUGUUCAAAAGAGCAUGCCACAAUGUUAAGGAAUGGGCAGAAGCGUAAUCCUAGCUUAUUGUUGCUAGGGUAGUCAGCUUCUUUUUUUUUUUUUUUUAAAAUAUAAAUUCUUGUACAUUCGUUUAUUUGUAUUUAUAGGCUUCGGCUUGUUUAAAGAAAUACCAUCAUUGUUUCAAAAAAAAAAAAAACAUAAAAUAAAUGGUUCCUUUGUUCACAUCUGGGUGUGUGCCUGGCAUUUCAUUUCUCAAAACGAAGACGAUUUAUGCAUGAAUGCAAGGGUGAAUGAUUGCUUCUGUAGAAAGGCUGAUGGCAAGGGUCAGAUAAUUGGGGUUGAGCUCAUGGCUUGAUCGGUAUAUUGGCCCAGGGCUGAUCCCGAGACGGGUGCAAAUUAAUUAUUUAGACAAGCACUCGUUCUCACUCAAGCACCAAGGGAAAAAAAAAAAAAAGGUUGGCUGCGUUUGGAUGCACUAUUUAAUUGAAUUGCAAUAAUUAGUUGAAUAAAGUGGAAGUGAUAAGAUUGCAGUCAAGGACUAGUCUCAUAUUACAUUACUUUUUAGGUUUGAAGUUGAAAGGAAUGCA